AAGAGCAUUAGGCGUCCUUUAGUUUNGAGUNAAAUGCGGGCUCANCCCGUAUGGCUUUGAUACUGGGGACNUGAGUGCAGGAGAGGAAAGGGGAAUUCCCAGUGUAGCGGUGAAAUGCGUAGAUAUUGGGAGGAACACCAGUGGCGAAGGCGCCUUUCUGGACUGUGUCUGACGCUGAGAUGCGAAAGCCAGGGUAGCGAACGGGAUUAGAUACCCCGGUAGUCCUGGCCGUAAAC
rnacentral:rRNA from 1 species